ACGGUCAUACCAAGUAAAAAACCUCGGUUUUUAUCCGAUCACCGAAGUUAAACAUGAUCGGGCUUGGCCAGUACUUGGAAAGAUGACCAUCUGGGAACACAACGUGC